GCUCUUAGGUACCGAAGAGCACUAGCAUUGGACUCAUCAAAUGAGUCCAAUCUUCAAAAUUUGAUGAUUUUGGCUUUAAAAUCUUGGCAUUGGAUUCACCAUAUGCUCAAAUGUCAAGCUUUUAGCUAUAGUACAUUCAUCUUCAUCUUCAAAUUUGAAGACUCACUAUUCAUACUCUAUAACUAUUAUUUUAUUUAUUUAAAUAAUUGUUUCUCAAUUUUGAGCCACAAUAUAUU